rnacentral:tRNA from 1 species
UGGCUCAAUGGUAAGAGCACUGACUACUCUUCCAGAGGUCCUGGGUUCAAAUCCCAG